GUGCUUGCCUUGGCAGCACAUAUACUAAAACUGGAACAAUAGAGGAGACGAGCGUGGCCUCCGUGCAAGGAUGACACACAACGUGAUGUUCCAAUGUGAAGCGUUCCAUAUUUUU
ensembl:snRNA U6 U6 spliceosomal RNA